rnacentral:rRNA from 1 species
UCUUCGGAAUCUUGAGAGCGGCGCACGGGUGCGGAACACGUGUGCAACCUGCCUUUAUCUGGGGGAUAGCCUUUCGAAAGGGAGAUUAAUACCCCAUAAUAUAAUGAGUGGCAUCACUUAUUAUUGAAAACUCCGGUGGAUAGAGAUGGGCACGCGCAAGAUUAGAUAGUUGGUGAGGUAACGGCUCACCAAGUCAAUGAUCUUUAGGGGGCCUGAGAGGGUGAUCCCCCACACUGGUACUGAGACACGGACCAGACUCCUACGGGAGGCAGCAGUGAGGAAUAUUGGACAAUGGGUGAGAGCCUGAUCCAGCCAUCCCGCGUGAAGGACGACGGCCCUAUGGGUUGUAAACUUCUUUUGUACAGGGAUAAACCUAUUUACGUGUAAAUAGCUGAAGGUACUGUACGAAUAAGCACCGGCUAACUCCGUGCCAGCAGCCGCGGUAAUACGGAGGGUGCAAGCGUUAUCCGGAUUUAUUGGGUUUAAAGGGUCCGUAGGCGGAUCCGUAAGUCAGUGGUGAAAUCUCAUAGC